GGGGAUAUAGCUCAGCUGGGAGAGCGCCACACUGGCAGUGUGGAGGUCAGGGGUUCGAGCCCCCUUAUCUCCACCA
rnacentral:tRNA from 1 species